AUGGAGAAAUCUCUUGCAAUCUUUGUAAGAUUCAACUUGAUCAGAAAAAGUGUGUUAAAUUACUAUUGCACAUUAUAAUUAUUAUAAAAUCCGACAUGUUCACUUACUAACUUUUUAGAUAGAAACUUCAUGUUUAUUAUUUCAUAUAGUAUAAAAGCACUAUCCAACAAGUUCUAACAAACAUUUCAUUCCAAUAAAAAAAUGUAAUUAUUCAUCUCACUAUGAAUUGGUAAGGGAUCAUAACAUCAAAUACUGAAGUAGAAAUUGAUAAUGCAAGUCUAUGUAAGCUAAUACAUGAGCAUGCAUGCCUAGUUAGCAACUAACUUUAAGAUCAACAUGUUCGAGAUCGAGCAAUUCUAUAAUGAUUUAAAUUACUUUUGUUUUUAAUAAUUCUAAACUAAUUUUGAUGAUAGAAAAACAUGUUUAAGAGUUGAUUUUUGAAUACGAACAAAGGCCACGUUUUACUCUUACAAAAUUCCUAAAAGAAACAUGAAGUAAUUACAGAAGAGAGGAGAAAAUAUAUAUAUAAAAAAGUAUAGAAUAACCGUCAUGUAAUAAUUGAUUAUAUAAAUAAAGAAUACAUAUAGGGAAAAUGACAAUGUGACAAUAAGAACAAUCAUCAGCAACCAAGAGACAAGAAUAGAUGGAAAUCAGAAAAUGUGUCAUAAUAUUUACACACAUGUUUGAAUUGAGAUAAAAUUAAUUAAAUGAUUUGUUAUAUAUAUAUAUAUAUAUAAUUUUAAAAUAAAAGUGAAAUGGAUUUAGAGCCAUGAAAAAUUGAGGUAAUUAAUUAAUUAAUUUAAAAAGAAUUUGUGGGUUAAAUUUGAAGGGGUCAUGUUCCAUGGCUGAAAAUCAAUCUCUUCUACAUAAGACUUCUUGUAUUUAAAGGACUCUAAAGAUCUCAAGGCUUUGAAAGCAUUUUGUAUCAUAGAAGGAAAAGAAAAAAAGAAAAAAGUGUUCACAAAAUCAAUGUACAAAAAUGCAAACACACAAAGUCAGAUUCAGUUUCAAGUUUCCAACUUGAGAAGACAAUGCUGAAUCUCACAGGUAGUGUUCUUCAAAAUGCAUGGCUACUCCUCAAACAAUUAUUCAUUCUUAAUUUCCCCUCUCAUAACUUUUUCUUCCAAAAAACACUCAUUUUAUCUGAACUUUUCGUGUUGAUCAAAACUUUUAACGUUUUAGAUUCAAAGUAUAUUUGUAUAUACACUAACAUUUAAAAAACAAUUGAAAAUAUUGCAAAACAUAUCAUAGUCUAUCACUAUCGAUAGCCAUAUUGUUAUACGUUUUAUCAUUAUCCAACGGAAGUUCAAUCAAAUUUGAAAAAGACUAAUAAUUUGUAUUUUUCUUUUUCUCAAUUGUUUAUUUGUUUAUUUAUGUAAUUUUAGUCAAAUAAAUAUGGGCAGAGCAAAAAAACAAAAGUUGUAGAUUUUUUUUUUUUUUUUUUUGAAAGGGUAUUUUGAGUGAUGCGAAGACAAAGAAAAUGGUGGCUGUUUGUUUGUUUAUAAAAUUAUUGUAAUUUUUUAUUUGAUUUGAUUUUGGUGAUGAAUAAAAAGGAAAAUCCAUGUGGCUAAGUGGUGUGGGGUUUAGCUAAAAAUGGAAAUUUUUUAUUGCAAAAUGUCUUCUCUUUCCUCUCUCAUUUCACCAAUAUGCUUUUCUUAUAUUCCCACCAGCUGUAAUUAUUACAACACAUCUCUUUUUUCUCUAAAUAAAUGUAUUCCUCAAUUUUCCAUUUUCAUAUAUAUAUAUAUAUAUAUAUGUAUACACACAUAUUGUACACUAACAUAUAUUAAAUAUAGUUUUACGAUAUACAUAUUAUAUAUGUCUGAAUGUAUGACUAUGAGGUACCAUAAAUAAAUAUAUAUAUAGUUUUAUAAAAUUAAAAAUUUAACAAUAGUAAGGUAAAAAAAUUAAUUAAAAAACUAUGAUAAUAAACUCUUGGACUUUUUCUAUUAGAGCUUUUUCUAAAUUGUAAUUUAACUCAUCUAGUUAUCUAAAUAAAAUUUAAUUAUGUCAGGUCAUAGAAUUUUUGUAAAGAAAAGUAAGAUCAUAAAUUGUACCUAAUUAUUGUUUAGCCACUCUCUUUCUCUUUCUUUUUCUCUCUACUUUUUAUGUAUGAUCUAAUUCAAUCAGUACUAUAUUUUCUUAUCUAAUUUUAAUAAUUAAAUAUCUCAAAUAUAUGGAUUGUAUUUCUAAUGAUAAAUUUUGAAAUAUUAGUAUUCGAGAAACAAUUUUUUUUAUAAAGAGUUGAUAUGAGAUUAGUAAAUUCAGCUAAAAUAUUAAUUUAAUUUAAAAAUACACACAUAUAAAUAGUAUUUUUUUUAAAUUAAAAAUAAAGAAAGGAAGAUGUGUGAAAAAAAAUCAAGAAAAAUAGUAAACAUAUGAAAUUAAAAAGAAACACAAUUCCAUAUUGAAAAAUAUAUAUGAGUUGGGAAAAGAAAUAUUUUUUUGAGAAAAAAAAAGUCAAAAGCAAAAUUUAUCAUAUUACGUUAUUACAUAUCCCAUGCAAAAUCUUUUUUUCCCUUCUCAAUUCUCUCAAGUGUAGAUCAUAGAAAAAUUAAAAGAAAAUUUAAAACAUAUAUAUAUAUUGUAUUGUAUGUAUGUAGAAGUAAAUCAGAAUUUUGGUGGCCAUGAAUCUAAAACAAACGUGUUGCAAAUCUUUUUCGUGGCCAUGAAAGCCUCAAGGUGUUCUUCUCUUGCCAAACCUCUCUCGUCUCUCUCUCCUAUGAAUCUUUUAAAAACUAGGCUCCAUAAUCUCGGUCGUCCAAUUCCGUCGAUCGGUAGGUGAUCGGAGACAAAAAAAACAUCCCCCAUCUAUCUUUUCUUCGUAAAAAUCAUUUGAUUUUUGGUUCUUAGACCUAAUAAAAUGUUAGAUUGAUCAAUCUUGUUUAUUUAUAACUAUAUCGAUUAUUACGUGUUAAAUAUUUAUAUUCUCACUUUAUCGGUCUUUUUACGUGUUGAACUGUAUAAUAAUAUAUAUGUUAGUUUAAAUUAGAUUUUGAUGUUAUAUUUAAAAAUACAUAUAUAUUAAUAUUAAUAUUAUACGUAAAUAUUUCGAAGAAUAAACUUACUUGUUUCCCCAUUUUGCAUGAAGUUCCAUAAUCAACAGUUGUUCGUCUGGGGUGAUGUUACCACGUCGGACGUCAGGACGGAGGUAGUUCAACCACCGAAGUCGACAACUCUUCCCGGUACGUUUCAGACCUAAAACGACGAUGUUUUUUUUUUUCGAGGAGGAGAAAAAUUAGGGUUUUUCUUAGAAAGAAUAAACUUAGGAGAAAGUUAGAAUAUUAUUUACCAGC
rnacentral:lncRNA from 1 species